AGCGAACGCUGGCGGCAGGCCUAACACAUGCAAGUCGAACGGACCCUUCGGGGUUAGUGGCGGACGGGUGAGUAACACGUGGGAACGUGCCCUUUGGUUCGGAACAACUCAGGGAAACUUGAGCUAAUACCGAAUGUGCCCUUCGGGGGAAAGAUUUAUCGCCAUUGGAGCGGCCCGCGUCUGAUUAGCUAGUUGGUGGGGUAAUGGCCUACCAAGGCGACGAUCAGUAGCUGGUCUGAGAGGAUGAUCAGCCACAUUGGGACUGAGACACGGCCCAAACUCCUACGGGAGGCAGCAGUGGGGAAUCUUGCGCAAUGGGCGAAAGCCUGACGCAGCCAUGCCGCGUGAAUGAUGAAGGUCUUAGGAUUGUAAAAUUCUUUCACCGGGGACGAUAAUGACGGUACCCGGAGAAGAAGCUCCGGCUAACUUCGUGCCAGCAGCCGCGGUAAUAC
rnacentral:rRNA from 1 species